rnacentral:rRNA from 1 species
AGAGUUUGAUCAUGGCUCAGGAUGAACGCUGGCGGCGUGCUUAACACAUGCAAGUCGAGCGAAGCGAUGAAGAGGAAGUUUUCGGAUGGAAUCUUGAUUGACUGAGCGGCGGACGGGUGAGUAACGCGUGGGUAACCUGCCUUACACAGGGGGAUAACAGUUAGAAAUGGCUGCUAAUACCGCAUAAGCAUACAGCACCGCAUGGUGCAGUGUGAAAAACUCUGGUGGUGUAAGAUGGACCCGCGUCUGAUUAGGUAGUUGGUAGGGUAACGGCCUACCAAGCCGACGAUCAGUAGCCGACCUGAGAGGGUGACCGGCCACAUUGGGACUGAGACACGGCCCAA